AACGAACGCUGGCGGCAUGCCUAACACAUGCAAGUCGAACGGGAUCCUAGCUUGCUAGGUGAGAGUGGCGGACGGGUGAGUAACACGUGGGAAUCUGCCUUUUGGUUCGGGAUAACCGCGGGAAACUGCGGCUAAUACCGAAUGCCCUCGAGAGAGGAAAGAUUUAUCGCCAGAAGAGGAGCCCGCGUCCGAUUAGGUAGUUGGUGGGGUAAAGGCCUACCAAGCCGACGAUCGGUAGCUGGUCUGAGAGGAUGAUCAGCCACACUGGGACUGAGAUACGGCCCAGACUCCUACGGGAGGCAGCAGUGGGGAAUAUUGGACAAUGGGGGCAACCCUGAUCCAGCAAUGCCGCGUGAGUGAUAGAAGGCCUUAGGGUUGUAAAGCUC
rnacentral:rRNA from 1 species